rnacentral:rRNA from 1 species
GUGCCAGCAGCCGCGGUAAUACGUAGGGUGCGAGCGUUGUCCGGAAUUACUGGGCGUAAAGAGCUCGUAGGUGGUUUGUCGCGUUGUUCGUGAAAACUCACAGCUUAACUGUGGGCGUGCGGGCGAUACGGGCAGACUAGAGUACUGCAGGGGAGACUGGAAUUCCUGGUGUAGCGGUGGAAUGCGCAGAUAUCAGGAGGAACACCGGUGGCGAAGGCGGGUCUCUGGGCAGUAACUGACGCUGAGGAGCGAAAGCGUGGGGAGCGAACAGGAUUAGAUAUCCCUGGUAGUCCACGCCGUAAACGGUGGGUACUAGGUGUGGGUUCCUUCCUUGGGAUCCGUGCCGUAGCUAACGCAUUAAGUACCCCGCCUGGGGAGUACGGCCGCAAGGCUAAAACUCAAAGGAAUUGAUGGGGGCCCGCACAAGCCGGCGGAGCAUGUGGAUUAAUUCGAUGCAACGCGAAGAACCUUACCUGGGUUUGACAUGCACAGGACGCCGGCAGAGAUGUCGGUUCCCUUGUGGCCUGUGUGCAGUAGAUGCA